rnacentral:lncRNA from 1 species
GCCGCGAGCCGGCAGGCACCCAGGCUUCGCAGGCCCGGCACGUCCAGGCGAUGGAGUUUCCGGACCUCGGGGCUCACUGUUCCGAGCCGAGCUGUCAGCGCUUGGAUUUUUUGCCACUCAAAUGCGAUGCCUGCUCCGGCAUCUUCUGCGCAGACCAUGUGGCCUACGCCCAUCAUCACUGUGGAUCAGCUUACCAAAAGGAUAUCCAGGUACCUGUGUGCCCGCUCUGUAAUGUGCCUGUGCCGGUAGCCAGAGGGGAGCCUCCUGACCGGGCCGUAGGAGAGCAUAUUGACAGAGACUGUCGCUCUGAUCCGGCACAGCAAAAACGCAAGAUCUUCACCAAUAAGUGUGAACGAUCUGGCUGCCGGCAGCGAGAGAUGAUGAAACUGACUUGUGACCGCUGUGGCCG